rnacentral:misc_RNA from 1 species
CAGAGUAUCAAACUCCGUAAACCAUCUGUGAAUAUUACCUCUCGUUGCCUCGGCGGCUACCCUGUAGUUACCCUAUAGCGCCGCCGCCGGUGGACUUCUAAACUAUGUCAUGUAUUGUCAUCUGAGCGUCUUAUGAAAAUAAGUCA